rnacentral:rRNA from 1 species
UACGAAGGGUGCUAGCGUUGUUCGGAAUCACUGGGCGUAAAGCGCGCGUAGGCGGCUUCUCAAGUCAGGGGUGAAAUCCUUGGGCUCAACCCAAGAAUUGCCUUUGAAACUGUGAGGCUGGAGUGUCGGAGGGGAUAGCGGAAUUCCUAAUGUAGAGGUGAAAUUCGUAGAUAUUAGGAGGAACACCGGUGGCGAAGGCGGCUAUCUGGACGACAACUGACGCUGAGGCGCGAAAGUGUGGGGAUCAAACAGG